AAUGUAUGACGCCGUUGACUUUGUCCAACGUUUGACCAUUCGUCUUAUUCAAAAAAUUUAUGUAAUUAUCAUUUAUUAUUAUGACUUGAUUCGUCAUCAAAUGUUCUUUAAGUAUGACAUAAAUAUUUUUAUAUUUACACAAAAAAUUUGAAUAAAAUGAAUGGUCAAACGUUUGUCGAAAAGUCAACGGCGUCAUACAUU
rnacentral:pre_miRNA from 1 species